UGUGGUGGCGAUAGCCAGAAGGAUACACCUGUUCCCAUGCCGAACACAGAAGUUAAGCUUCUGCACGCCAAGAGUAGUUGGGGUUCGCCCCCUGCGAGGGUAGGACGUUGCCACGC
rnacentral:rRNA from 1 species